rnacentral:rRNA from 1 species
GAUGAACGCUAGCGGCAGGCUUAACACAUGCAAGUCGAGGGGUAUAGAGAGCUUGCUUUCUAGAGACCGGCGCACGGGUGCGUAACGCGUAUGCAAUCUACCUUUCACAAAGGGAUAGCCCAGAGAAAUUUGGAUUAAUACCUUAUAGUAUUACAGAAUGGCAUCAUUUUGUAAUUAAAGAUUUAUCGGUGAAAGAUGAGCAUGCGUCCCAUUAGUUAGUUGGUAAGGUAACGGCUUACCAAGACUACGAUGGGUAGGGGUCCUGAGAGGGAGAUCCCCCACACUGGUACUGAGACACGGACCAGACUCCUACGGGAGGCAGCAGUGAGGAAUAUUGGACAAUGGGCGCAAGCCUGAUCCAGCCAUGCCGCGUGCAGGAUGACGGUCCUAUGGAUUGUAAACUGCUUUUAUACAGGAAGAAACCCUCCGACGUGUCGGAGCUUGACGGUACUGUAAGAAUAAGGAUCGGCUAACUCCGUGCCAGCAGCCGC